rnacentral:rRNA from 1 species
AUUGAACGCUGGCGGCAUGCCUUACACAUGCAAGUCGAACGGUAACAGGUCUUCGGACGCUGACGAGUGGCGAACGGGUGAGUAAUGCAUCGGAACGUGCCCAGUCGUGGGGGAUAACUGCUCGAAAGAGCAGCUAAUACCGCAUACGACCUGAGGGUGAAAGCGGGGGACCGUAAGGCCUCGCGCGAUUGGAGCGGCCGAUGUCAGAUUAGCUAGUUGGUGGGGUAAAGGCCUACCAAGGCAACGAUCUGUAGUUGGUCUGAGAGGACGACCAGCCACAGUGGGACUGAGACCCGGCCCAGACCCCUACGGGAGGCGGCGGGGGGGAAUUUUGGACAAGGGGCGAAAGCCUGACCCAGCAAGGCCGCGGGCAGAAAAAGGGCCUCGGGUUUGUAAAUUGCUUUUGUCGGGAAAAAAAUUUUGUGGGCAAAACCCCGGGGAGGAUGACGGUACCUAAAGAAAAAGCCCCGGCUAACUACGUC